UACUGGAUCCGUUCCUGUAAGUGUGGAGC
rnacentral:piRNA from 1 species